rnacentral:lncRNA from 1 species
CGUAGGAACCAAAACGAGCCCCUCGGUCCGAAAUGUACAUGUAAUUCCUUAUAUAGACUCGGCUGCAGCCAGCGGCAGGGCCGUUGCCGCCCAUUAUUAUACAAACAGGUACCGGGCCGGCGCGGGCGGGGUAUCUCGCCCCGCGCUCCCGCCGCCCCCGGGCGGAGAAGUCUCGCCCCUCUCGCCACAGGAACUGUCCAGACAAUAACAAUCAGCAGACAUUUCGCUGCUGAACAAGAGGGAGAGAAAGCACAGAAUCGCCCCCAAGAUAAGCAGAAAUACAAUCAACUUACAACGUCUCUCCAAACUGGAAAAGGCGACUGUGCAACAACAACCACAUGUUCGGGUCUCGCUCUCUCUUGCUGUCUCUUGCUGUCUCUCUCUUUCUCUUAUUUAUUUUUUUUAACUCUCACGCCAGGCAGAGGGGUGUGUAUUGCCCCGGCACAUCAGCACAAAUCAAUAAACACUGCAGCUGCAGCGAGAGCAGCAGACCAGUGCGUCCGUCGGUCCGUCUGCCCCCUCCCCCACUCUCCUUCCACCCGAGACCGAGAGCGCCAUCCAAGCUCCAUUAUCCGGCUUCAGCGCUCCGUGUGUCCGGCCCAGAAAUCCUCACCAAGGAGCCUCUGACCUCUUGAGACAGUGGAAGAAGCCCUGUGGUUCCAGAGAAACUCAAGACCAAAGCUAUCGAGUGGUGCCCCACUGCACCCCCCAACCAAGGAGGAGGCACAGCCUAGAGGUGGACAGCCUGGAAUAUUCCACUGCACACUGAAAUCAUGUUGGGAGAGAAAUCAGGCUAUUCUAACUUGCCCGUUAAUGUAUAGAAUUACUUAGAAUUAAUUCCACUGAGUUGUUUCUAUUUGAAAAGAACUGUAUCAGGAACUGGAAGUGUAAAAUGCUGUCCAAUAAAGAAGGCAUAAUUAGAUGAGGAUGUAAGUUAUUACAAUGUAAAGUUAAAUCGGAAGCAGAUUUAACAUGAAGUGAAAGAAGUCCCAGUGUCCGUGCCCCUCACUUACACGGGCCCCUUCUGAUACUCCAGGAGAGACCCUAGAAACAUAGGUGGUCAUAUAUUCUGGUAAACUUGGCAAACGCGAGUUUUUUUUAAACUACAGUUAACCUGUCUCUUUCCCAUCUUACUUUCCCUACUGUUGAAAGGGCCAAUGACAUUUUUGAGACCCAAAACUGAUUGCCAGCUGCACUGGUGUAGGAGUGAUUUCUAGAAACGUCUUACUACCCCUGUGCUGAUUCAUUGAGUUCAUGGCUUGAGGGUACAGAGCAGAGGCUCUACCAUGACGGGAACAUACACUGUGGCACUCAGCUUAGGAAGUAGGUGGGUCCUGGAGGAGAUGCAAGGGUCUGAAGUGUGUGUAGCCAGAAAUGAGUCUGGAGAAUUCUUCCCAUCAGACGUGUAGAACUGUAAAUGGAGGAUUUGAUUCUCAGUAGUGCCUGGUCAGAACAGAACUUGCCAAAGUCAGGAAUAUUCUUAAUAACACAGCAUAAGCAGUUAUACGCGUGUACACGCACCACCCAUUCUUUCUGUGGGUAAUUGCACAAAAUAAUAGAAUCUGUAGGUCUCGAGGCACAACCCGGCGGGAGUACUACAAAGGAGUCCAUCUAUAUGUGAAGUUCUCUAUCCUAGUCAUUCCAGUUACCAACAAUAAAAACAUGUGACCAGCCAUCACAGAGGAAAGACAGGUAGCUACUGAACGAAAAUGUUAUUUUUCUAGAUUUUGAAAUAUUCGUUGUAUUCGUUAACUCAUUAAGACUUGAUUUUGGUGUGAUUUUUUUAUUUUAAAUAAAUAUGCAAGUUCGGGGCGCCUGGGUAGCGCAGUCGUUAAGCGUCUGCCUUCAGCUCAGGGCGUGAUCCUGGUGUUCCGGGAUCGAGUCCCACAUCAGGCUCCUCUGCUGUGAGCCUGCUUCUUCCUCUCCCACUCCCCCUGUUUGUGUUCCCUCUCUCGCUGGCUGUCUCUCUGUCACAUAAAUAAAUAAAAUCUUAAAAAUAAAUAAAUAUGCAUUUUCAUAUCUAAUUUUGCAUUAAUAACUUUCAAUCAUUCUUCCUAAAGAGGUCCCCCCAAACUGUUUAACUUCACGGCCUGUGAAACCUGGAUCUGUCCCAGUACAAAGCAACGAGCAUGAUGAGAGAGAAACGUAAGAGGGUCUGUGGGAGUUCUGAGAAAGCAGACAUUAUUCAGGACAGAGAUAAUCAAAGAAGGGUUUUAUCUGAGCUAUGAUCAAGCAGAAGAACUUGAAUUCAGAGAUACAGCAAAUAAUGUUCUAAACGAAAAAGCGAAUGCUUCAUAACAUUUUUUUAAGUUUACACACAGUAGAGUCUUAAUGAGUUAAGCAUAUGGCUAUUCCAAUAUCCUUCUACACUUAACGUUUACAAACACAUCUUAAUGAAAGAAGAUCUUGCUGGAAAGACGAUUUAUUCACAGUGUGGUUUCAAUGAGUUAAGCAUACGGCUAUUCCCAUAUGCUUCUUCACAUAUAUUUACAAACACUUAUGUCUUUUUAUUUAUGUAUUUAUUAUCUUUUUAUUUUUUUUAAAGUUUUCAGUUUAAUUCCAGUUAGUUACAACAUACAGAAUUUUAUUAGUUUCAAGUGUACAAUAUAGUGAUUCCACUUCCACACAUCACCCAGUGCUCAUCUUCAUGUUUAAUAAUUUCUACCCCUUGGGGUGCCUGGGUGGCACAGCAGUUAAGCAUCUGCCUUCGGCUCAGGGCGUGAUCCCGGCGUUAUGGGAUCGAGCCCCACAUCAGGCUCCUCUGCUAUGAGCCUGCUUCUUCCUCUCCCACUCCCCCUGCUUGUGUUCCCUCUCUCGCUGGCUGUCUCUAUCUCUGUCGAAUAAAGAAAUUAAAAAAUCUUUAAAAAAAAAUAAUAAUUUCUACCCCUGGUUCUACUCACUCAUAUACUGUUUGUCAUUGACACAUCCCCUUCUCCACCUUCACAUCCUUUCUGAUUCCAUAUCUAAAAACCUCUCUGCUGGUGUUUUGUGGACAUGGGUUCAAGUAACAGAUCAAUGCAAACUUGGGUGCUCAAAAAAGAGAAAUUUUCAGGCUGGACUCUGCGUUGGAGUCCACACCCAGAGAAAUGGGACAGUUCUGUAAUGCAGUCCAGGUCCUAUUUCAUAAAUUAAGACAAACACUAAUAUUACAUAAGCAAAGCGAACUUUCUCCCCUGUUAUUUAAUGAUGAUAUAAUUAGUGAACAGGAGUUAGAGAAAGUCCUAUUUUUGAGCUCU